rnacentral:rRNA from 1 species
CUCGUAGGCGGUUCGUCGCGUCCGGUGUGAAAGUCCAUCGCUUAACGGUGGAUCUGCGCCGGGUACGGGCGGGCUGGAGUGCGGUAGGGGAGACUGGAAUUCCCGGUGUAACGGGUGGAAUGUGUAGAUAUCGGGAAGAACACCAAUGGCGAAGGCAGGUCUCUGGGCCGUUACUGACGCUGAGGAGCGAAAGCGUGGGGAGCGAACA